rnacentral:rRNA from 1 species
GAUGAACGCUAGCGGCAGGCUUAACACAUGCAAGUCGAGGGGCAGCACGGGUAGCAAUACUUGGUGGCGACCGGCAAACGGGUGCGGAACACGUACACAAUCUACCUUUAUCUGGGGUAUAGCCCGAAGAAAUUCGGAUUAAUCCCCCAUAAGAUAUUAGAGUGGCAUCACUUCGAUAUUAAAACUCCGGUGGAUAAAGAUGAGUGUGCGUCCCAUUAGCUAGUUGGUAGGGUAACGGCCUACCAAGGCAACGAUGGGUAGCUGGUGUGAGAGCACGACCAGCCACACGGGAACUGAGACACGGGCCCGACUCCUGCGGGAGGCAGCAGUGAGGAAUAUUGGUCAAUGGACGCAAGUCUGAACCAGCCAUGCCGCGUGAAGGAUGAAGGCCUUCUGGGUUGUAAACUUCUUUUAUUGGGGAAGAAAAUUACGGUUUCUACUGUAACCGACGGUACCCAAGGAAUAAGCACCGGCUAACUCCGUGCCAGCCGCCGCCAUAAUAC